CCUACGGGAGGCUGCAGUGGGGAAUAUUGGACAAUGGGCGAAAGCCUGAUCCAGCCAUGCCGCGUGUGUGAAGAAGGCCUUCGGGUUGUAAAGCACUUUCAGUGGGGAAGAAAGCCUUGGGGCUAAUACCCUCGAGGAAGGACAUCACCCACAGAAGAAGCACCGGCUAACUCCGUGCCAGCAGUCGCGGUAAUACGGAGGGUGCGAGCGUUAAUCGGAAUUACUGGGCGUAAAGCGCGCGUAGGCGGUCUGAUAAGCCGGUUGUGAAAGCCCCGGGCUCAACCUGGGAACGGCAUCCGGAACUGUCAGGCUAGAGUGCAGGAGAGGAAGGUAGAAUUCCCGGUGUAGCGGUGAAAUGCGUAGAGAUCGGGAGGAAUACCAGUGGCGAAGGCGGCCUUCUGGACUGACACUGACGCUGAGGUGCGAAAGCGUGGGUAGCAAACAGGAUUAGAUACCCUUGUAGUC
rnacentral:rRNA from 1 species